UGUAAAAUCUACCCGUACCCUGUUUCCUUCGCAAUGAGAAGAGUCCAUUUACUUCUAUGUAACUGUGCCGGGAAUUUCCAGACUGUAAUCCAUACUUCCUCUUAUGCUACCCCUGUGAACAAUGUUCGGAUCUUUCUGAAACCGACUGUACUUUGAUCAUCAAAAUUUUUCUCCUUAAUUCCUACCUUAUUGCAUUUCCGAGAUAAAAGGUGGUACGGCUGAUAUCUUCUCAUCUAAUAGAAUAUUUAGCCACUUGAUAAAAUUCCGAUAACAUGCUGAUAUUUGAGAAUUAAAUAGAAAAGUGGCCAUUUUAGACACCUAUUAUCUGAAACUGAUUGGUGUUAACAGCGCAUCACACUGAUACCAAACGAAUUUAUCCAAUUUUAUUUGGAGAAAAAUUUAAUAUGGAUUAGAUUCAAAAAUUUUAUUUUUUGGUUAUGUUAAUCUGCGUAAACGUAAUGGGAAUUAUAUGUAAUAUGAUGAAUUUUAUUAUUUGAAAUUAUGGAAAAAAAUGAUUAUUCUAUAUCAAAAUGUUCGGUCACUUAAGAGAAAAUCAUCGGAUCUCCAGAAAGUCUUGAACAAACGUUUCGAUGUUCUUUGUUUAUCAGAAACGUGGUUGGAAACACAUUCUACCAUUCAUAACGUUUUCGAUCGGUUUGGUUACGACCUGUUUUCUGCACCGAGAGAUUAUUGUAAAGGAGGAGGAGUACUUAUUGCCAAAAAAAGGACUUAAACGCUAAACGAAACUUUUCUAAAGAAGACUAUUUCAUAUCUGUUCAAAUAGAUAAGCAUAGUUUACUGUUAGUAUGCUGCUACGCACCCAAACGAUGGUGCCCUUACAUAUUCCCUUCUCUUCGUCGCUACUUAAAAAGAGUUAGGGGAUUAUUCGAAAAUUUAAUAAUCUGUGGAGACUUUAACACUUGCCACAUCGAAUGGUUUGGAUAUCUUCCUCAAUAUUCUUACCUUAAUCAGGCAGAAAAAUAUCUUUUGUACAAAAUUUACUAUUUCUUUGAAUUUAUUCAAAAGGUCGAUUUUCCCACGCGUCAAAGCAAUUUUCUCGAUCUAGUAUUUACUAAUUGUAAACGCCUGAAUACUUCGUCUUGUACCGCCUUUGCAUCCGAUCACAUGGCAAUAUUAAUCUCUAUCGACUUUAAAACUUACAUAUGCGAUACUUACCUACCCGUUACUAAUAAAAUUAAUCGGAAAAGAGGAGAUUUGGCCAGUAUAUUCCAUUCUGUAGUUAAUUUCGAUUGGUCGUUGUUUAUCAACAAUUUUUCAGCUCAGUUAAGUACGUACAAAUUAUACACCCGUUUAAAUAUCAUUAGAAAGAAGUCACGAUUUCUUCCUUACUCCAGAAGCUUUAGGCAUAGCAAAUAUUAUGCAAGUAAGACAUAUUCCAAUAAUCACUAAACUGAUAAAAUCCGAUUACGAAUAUUGCUGAUAUAAUCGGUUGCGUGAUAAAUUUAAACUUUUAUAACGUAUUGAAAAAGAUAAUUAUUUUACCAAAUAAAUUUAAAUUUUAUCUAUUUUUCCGUUAUUUUUUAUAAAGGUACAUAACUAAAUCGAAUAUUUGAGAAGAAAAUAAUUCGUCUUAUAAGUAUUUCGUUAAAACAAAUUAAUUUUGAAACUGUGAUAUCGUAUAGAAGGUAUUAAAAAUACCACUCUCUUAGAAGCUAAAUGUGUGAAAAUACAGAUUCAUGGUAUCGCUAUAUUAAUUUAAUGUAACUAAAUUAUUUUUCCAUAGCUAUCUCAUGUUUUGAAGCUAAAUUUUUGGGAAGAUAUUUGGAUUUUGAAGAAAUUUUGAAAUUCCAGUUCUCAUUGCAUCAAUGAUCAUACGCUUAAAACACCAGAGCUUGCACCCAACUACAAUAUUCGUAUCUACUUAAAAAAACCAGAGCGGAAGACCGAGACCAAACUACAUGGAUAAUAUCAAAAAUGGAAGAAUAUACUUCCAAAUUAAACGACUAGCCAUAAAUAGAAUGCAUUGCACAACAGAUAUUCUAUCUAACAAUUCUUCCCUGGAAGAGAAGAAGUAAUAAGUUAUAAUUACAAUUUGCAUAAAUUUUUCUAUAAUUAGAUGAUCGAUUUUUUUAUAGUUAUAAUUAAAUAUGUUAUAUUUAACCAAACAAUAAAUGUUUUAUGGCGAUUGAACAGAUAUCAGGUAUUGUUUAUGAUAAAACUUUCCACGCAAUUAUUGAUAUAAAAAUAUGCAAAUUUCGAAGUAGAAAUAAGAUAGCGCUAAAAGAUACAGUAUAUAAUCGAAAUUUUAACUAAAGCUUCCAAAACAGUCGCUUUUUUUACACUUUGAAUGUAAAGAUGAUUAAAAUGUUGUAAGUUGAAAGUACUAGUGAUUGGUGUAAUCUUAAGUAGAUACUAUCAAUUAACUAUCUCAGAUAACAUUUAAUAGGAAAUUUUUUUGUUAAAAUAAAUGUUAUAUUAGAUCAGUGUUGUUCAACCUGUUUUAUCUCGUGGAACACUUGAACCUAUAGUAAAACUUCUGUGGCACGCACACUUCAAUUAUCAUCAUCAAAAAAAGCUUGCAUAUAUAUUUUUUACUGUAUUAUAUAUACGUUCAUUAUAUCCAUGAUAUACUGGUAUAAGCAAUUUAAAGAGAUUUUAAUUUGGACUUCUUUUGAAAAUAAUUUAAUUAAUGAUCUUUAAAAAUUUUCACAACACACUUAAGAUCCUGUCAGGG
rnacentral:lncRNA from 1 species